rnacentral:rRNA from 1 species
AAAUUGAAGAGUUUGAUCAUGGCUCAGAUUGAACGCUGGCGGCAGGCCUAACACAUGCAAGUCGAACGGUAACAGGAAGCAGCUUGCUGCUUCGCUGACGAGUGGCGGACGGGUGAGUAAUGUCUGGGAAACUGCCCGAUGGAGGGGGAUAACUACUGGAAACGGUAGCUAAUACCGCAUAACGUCGCAAGACCAAAGAGGGGGACCUUCGGGCCUCUUGCCAUCGGAUGUGCCCAGAUGGGAUUAGCUUGUUGGUGAGGUAACGGCUCACCAAGGCGACGAUCCCUAGCUGGUCUGAGAGGAUGACCAGCCACACUGGAACUGAGACACGGUCCAGACUCCUACGGGAGGCAGCAGUGGGGAAUAUUGCACAAUGGGCGCAAGCCUGAUGCAGCCAUGCCGCGUGUAUGAAGAAGGCCUUCGGGUUGUAAAGUACUUUCAGCGGGGAGGAAGGUGUUGAGGUUAAUAACCUCAGCAAUUGACGUUACCCGCAGAAGAAGCACCGGCUAACUCCGUGCCAGCAGCCGCGGUAAUACGGAGGGUGCAAGCGUUAAUCGGAAUUACUGGGCGUAAAGCGCACGCAGGCGGUCUGUCAAGUCGGAUGUGAAAUCCCCGGGCUCAACCUGGGAACUGCAUUCGAAACUGGCAGGCUAGAGUCUUGUAGAGGGGGGUAGAAUUCCAGGUGUAGCGGUGAAAUGCGUAGAGAUCUGGAGGAAUACCGGUGGCGAAGGCGGCCCCCUGGACAAAGACUGACGCUCAGGUGCGAAAGCGUGGGGAGCAAACAGGAUUAGAUACCCUGGUAGUCCACGCCGUAAACGAUGUCGACUUGGAGGUUGUGCCCUUGAGGCGUGGCUUCCGGAGCUAACGCGUUAAGUCGACCGCCUGGGGAGUACGGCCGCAAGGUUAAAACUCAAAUGAAUUGACGGGGGCCCGCACAAGCGGUGGAGCAUGUGGUUUAAUUCGAUGCAACGCGAAGAACCUUACCUGGUCUUGACAUCCACAGAAGAAUCCAGAGAUGGAUUUGUGCCUUCGGGAACUGUGAGACAGGUGCUGCAUGGCUGUCGUCAGCUCGUGUUGUGAAAUGUUGGGUUAAGUCCCGCAACGAGCGCAACCCUUAUCCUUUGUUGCCAGCGGUCCGGCCGGGAACUCAAAGGAGACUGCCAGUGAUAAACUGGAGGAAGGUGGGGAUGACGUCAAGUCAUCAUGGCCCUUACGACCAGGGCUACACACGUGCUACAAUGGCAUAUACAAAGAGAAGCGACCUCGCGAGAGCAAGCGGACCUCAUAAAGUAUGUCGUAGUCCGGAUUGGAGUCUGCAACUCGACUCCAUGAAGUCGGAAUCGCUAGUAAUCGUGGAUCAGAAUGCCACGGUGAAUACGUUCCCGGGCCUUGUACACACCGCCCGUCACACCAUGGGAGUGGGUUGCAAAAGAAGUAGGUAGCUUAACCUUCGGGAGGGCGCUUACCACUUUGUGAUUCAUGACUGGGGUGAAGUCGUAACAAGGUAACCGUAGGGGAACCUGCGGUUGGAUCACCUCCUUACCUUAAAGAA